rnacentral:rRNA from 1 species
AGAGUUUGAUCCUGGCUCAGAGCGAACGCUGGCGGCAGGCCUAAUACAUGCAAGUCGAACGCACCUUCGGGUGAGUGGCGGACGGGUGAGUAACGCGUGGGAACGUGCCCUUUGGUUCGGAACAACACAGGGAAACUUGUGCUAAUACCGAAUGUGCCCUUCGGGGGAAAGAUUUAUCGCCAUUGGAGCGGCCCGCGUUGGAUUAGGUAGUUGGUGAGGUAAAGGCUCACCAAGCCUACGAUCCAUAGCUGGUCUGAGAGGAUGAUCAGCCACACUGGGACUGAGACACGGCCCAGACUCCUACGGGAGGCAGCAGUAGGGAAUCUUGCGCAAUGGGCGAAAGCCUGACGCAGCCAUGCCGCGUGAAUGAUGAAGGUC